CUGAAUAGGCGGGCCUUGAUCCCGCGAGAAAUUAAUUAACAG
rnacentral:tRNA from 1 species